rnacentral:snRNA from 1 species
UCACUUACCUGGACGGGGUCUAUGGGUGAUCAAGAAGACUCAUGGCCUGGAUUAGUGGCCUCCAUUGCACUUGGGAGGAGCACUAGUCUACCAUCUCCCCAAGUGGGAGAGUGGACGUCGUAAUUUGUGGUAGAGGGGGUACGCGUUCGCGCGGCCCCUG